CUCACUGGUUGUGGGUCGGACAGCCGCUGGAGGCCGUUGUGACGCUGCCCCCUGACGCGCCACAUCGGCAAAUGUUUUCUUGGGCAGGAUGGGCACGACCGCGAGUACGCGGCGUGCUCCCCAUCACAGUUUACACAGUGGAGAGCAUUCUCACAAGCUUCAGAGGUGUGUUCGUGGGCACUGCACUUCGCACAUGUUUGGCGGCCUCGGCAGCUCUGCGAACUGUGACCGAAGCGCUGGCAUUUGAAACAUCGCAGUGGAUUGGGCACGUACGGCCUGACACGGAGCUUGAUGUACCCGGCCUCGAUUGACUCGGGCAGGACACUUGAACCAAAUGUGAUUAUUAGGUGCUUGGUUUGUAUCUCUUUA